rnacentral:ncRNA from 1 species
UACGUUCAUCUCAACACAUUGUUGGGACGCAAGUAGUCUGAGAAAGCAGAUGAAGGAACGGGAA